rnacentral:rRNA from 1 species
AACGAACGCUGGCGGCAUGCCUAACACAUGCAAGUCGAACGAAACCUUCGGGUCUAUUGGCGCACGGGUGCGUAACGCGUGGGAACCUGCCCUUAGGUUCGGAAUAACUCCCCGACAGGGGUGCUAAUACCGGAUAAUAUCUUCGGACCAAGGAUUUAUCGCCUUUGGUUGUACCCGCGUUGGAUUAGCUCGUUGUUAGGGUAAAAGCCUACCAAGGCGACGAUCCAUAGCUGGUCUGAGAGGAUGAUCAGCCACACUGGGACUGAGACACGGCCGAGAAUCCUACGGGAGGGAGCAGUGGGGAACAGUGGAAAAUGGGGGAAAGCCUGAACGAGUAAUGACGCGUGAGUGAUGAAGGCCGUAGGGUUGUAAAGUUCAUGUAACCGGGAUGAUAAUGACAGUACCGGGAGAAUAAGCCACGGCUAACUACGUG